UGAUCACUUUCUGUAUUUUCAGUUGAAAAUGAAGAUAAACAAUGAAGCAUUCUUAUCAAUUAUUUCAAAGCAUUUUACAAAAAAAAAAAAAAAAAUCAGGAUAAAAAUCUUUUUUAACUAAUGCAGAAACUUAGGAAGAGCAAAAAAAUGUGGAAAAAGAAAGGAAAACAUGAUUUUCUCAGUAUUACGAGGUAGGUAACCCAGGCACUAUGUGCUGCUGCUGUGGGACAAGGAGGGACAAAGCGGAAUCAGGUACCUUUGGAACUCUUACUUUAUAGCCCCACAUGGUCAUCCUUAGCCUGUGGAGGAAGGUAGCAGCCUGUGCUGCCUGCUUUCUCCUCCUCCCAUCUCAGGAUGAAAACUAGAAAAAAAAUGCUCUGUACUUGCAUUUCAAAGGCAUAGUCUAGUCCUUAGCAUGUGGUCUGAAUUAGAAAGAUAUUGCUGUAGUUAAUAUUAGAUUUUCAAGAAAAGUUCUUCUUUAUUUACUCGCAUCUUUUAAAAAAUCCAAAUUCAUAAUGUUGAAUGCACAAAUUUUAUUUCCUAUUAACACACUGUAUUCUUGAAUUGGUAGUAAAGAGAAUUUUAAACAACAGUGGCAGAUGGCCGAAUUACCCCUCCAGGGUGACUGGAAAGGAUGGUCACUGUUUUACUCGAUAGAUUAUGGUGAAGUGUAUUAAGAUAACAUGGACUGGGUGUGUAUUGUUGCAUUAGAAAUAAGACAUACAAUUUUGGCUAGAGUUUCUGUCUGCCCUCCCAUCUGAUCCAGAGAGCCACUAAUUUAGUACAAGUGUUCAUUAUGAAAAAUGUAAUAGACCUGAAGCUGGAUGACUGGGUCCUGGGAGCUAUUCAGCUAUUCCAUUAUUUUAUUUUAUCUUAUUUUACAGACACUGAGGAUUGUACCAUAUGUUUCUUUAACUGUAUUCCUGGUAAAAAUCUGAUUUUGAUUGGCACAAAUUGAACGUAUUCCAUAUAUCCUAACCUAUUACAGGUUAUCCUUACCCUAGCAAUUGAACUUUAGCUCUAAUUCAGAAGAAGAAAAAAAAAAAAAAGAAAAAAGAGUGCAAAGGCAAUCGUUUUCAUGUCUUUGCCAGAUGAAGCUGAAUAGAAGUACUGUCAGAGUAAGAAAUUCAGGAUUUGACCCUCUGAGUAGAUUUUAUUUUCAAAGCAGGUUCCCAGAAGCCACAGAGAAAAAAGGAAACAAAGCUAAAAUUGGGACAAGGUCAACUGGAUACAGAAGAGACUGUAACAAACCUAAAAUAGUUCUGUUAUUUUUGUUUCAGCUAAAGUUCACAGAAUUUUUAUUAAUAAUCUAACCUAGAUAUUUAGGCAGGAAUCAGACAGAACAACUUUUUAAUGACUGCCCAGCGGGAAGGUUAUAUUCAUAACUAGUGUUCAUAGUUCACUUCAUAUUUGACACUGACAGAUACAGUUACUGCCUUAAAUAUUGAAAGCCUAAGAAGUAUCCCUCUACAAACAGUAUAACACAUUACAGAGAGUUGAAGAAAUCUUUUGAGUGUAUUCAUUGCUUGGAAACAUAUAUAUUAUACAUACGUACAAACAAUGAGAAACACGUGUAUUUUAUCAGGAUAAGCUACACUUAUUUGCAACCAGUAUGGGUAGGAGAAGGAUCAGGUCUUAUUUUAACAUGAUAGAAAUGCAGACAGGGAAAAUUUUCUGAGCAGAAAUUCACACUUUCAAAUCAGUGGAUAGAGUUAAUUAAUCUUAAUUAAAAAAAAAAAAAAUGAAGAUACUAUUUUUACUUCAGACUCUUCUCUAAAGUAAUUAUACCACAGAUGAGGCAUAUACUUACUCUGAUACACCACCAACUUCCCCAAUUCCCCCCAGAAAGAAAAAUAAUAACAACAAAAACAACACUGCACUCCGAAAAGAAAAGAAAAGAAAAGAAAAGAAAAGAAAAGAAAAGAAAAGAAUACCAAAUUAGGCAUCGGAUAUCACGAGUCACAGUGGUACUCAGAGUUCCUUCUGCUGCUACGAAUAGAAAUUACUGUUAAAAGUCUCUCUGAAAAGUUGUCUGUAAUUCAGAAUUUGUUUUAUGUGCAAUUUAAAGUAGCUUAAAUUUAUUUGUUCUCUUUCAGAAGUUAUACUUUAACAUGAAAAACACCGAAGAGCAUAAAUUGUUCUUUAUUUAACAAUUUUAGAUCUGGGAAUAUUUCAUUUAGAUCUAUUCUAGAUUUUACUGCUGGUGUUAACAUGCAGGUAGUAUUCUGUCAUUCUUUCAUUUUUGCAAUGAUCUAACAGUGAAUUUUUCACUGAUGCAACAUGCAGAUAUUAUUCUUUUAUAUGCAUUUCAGUAAAUAUUAAACAAGUAUAUAAAAUAUAUGUAAAGGGUACUGGGAAUUUAGGGCCUACUCUGUAUGCUUAUGAUGGAGGUUGUUGUCCACUCUUCCGAAAGAUGACACUCGAGAAUUCAGAUGACAUGGAAAAUACAGAGGUUUUAAAUAGUGAUGCAGCUAAAAUGCAAAACUCAGCCAAUGACAGCAAUAUCCCUUCCAAACUCUUUUUAACAGACACAAACUACUAAAUCCUUUAACUACAGAAUUGAGUCUGACUGACAGCUGAAGAAAAGUACACCUGGUAUUCAGAGAUAAACACUCUCAGUGUCAUAAAAAGGUAUGCCAGAUCUAACCUUCAGCCUGGACUUAGAAUGUCACAGUACAAAGGAAAUAGUUUUGUUUUUAUUCUUUGUCAUUAACAGGCUGGCUGAGCCAGGAGUUGGCUCUAAGAGUUCCUUAAAAAUGAGAGCAAAAAUGUAAUGUAUUUACGUCCUAAUCACAAAAAUGCCAGAAUAGUCUGCAUACUUUGUUAAUAGUCCUAAUGCCUUUCCAGGAAGGACAUACAGAGUAGUCUCAUUGGGGUUACUCUUAGUGUUAAAAUCAUGGAUCUGUUAAAUGUGUUAGGAAAUUAUGAUCUUUACUGUAUAAUUAGUAAGAUCUCUUGAUUCUCAUUGCUUAAGAUCCCAGAAGCUGAUAGGAGCUACUUUCUCUAUUUUACAGUGGGUAAGCUUGGGUGCAUGAAGAUAGUCCUGCCAAAGGCCAGGCAGGGAAUCCUUAACAAAGCCCAGAGCCCUUUAAGUUUCAUCUGAGUACUUUAACUUCACAGCAGCAAUUUUUAUCACCCUUUUAAUUUCACUGAAAAAGCCUUUAAAUACUCAAUAUAAUAACAGGUGACUGAAGGAUGAUCUUGAGGUAACUUGAAAGGAGAAGAUUUUUCUGCUUUCCACCUUAAAAAAGCACGGGUAUAUUAAACAAUGAGAACUGACAACAAAGGAGGACUUUAAGGAUUAAUAUGGGCCUCUGGAAAUGAGAUACAAGAUGUUCUGAAGGAUGCUAACCUCUGACUGAACAGGACAGAAGCUCUUCUGAUUCCCCAGUUUGGAUGAGAAAUUGUGUCUGCUCCUCAGAGAAAGAAAAAAAAUGAAGACUGGAGAAGAUGCAGUUAUCCCUUAUCCUCAUGAACCUCAUUUUAGCAGAUAAAAAGAUACUGAGUCUAGAGAGCAGAUGAGCUGGAUCCAUUACCACAUUUGUAUGACUUAUGGUGGUAGAACUAAUUAUGCCUUAUGGCACCAAAAUCUAGUAAUUCUUGCAGACGGCCCUUGUUCACGGUAAUCAGCCUAUUUGAGGGCAUUCUGCUUUUCAGUGUCCUUGUCAAUGCUAGCACAGAGAUAGAAACAUGCUGCUACAUGCUCAGAGCUCUCUUGGGGCUUUAGUCUCUUCAUUAUGUGUAGUCCAGGUGUGGCCUAUGACAGAGACCUUUGAAGAAACGGUCUAUACAACUUUAUAUAUUUGUUGAUGGGAGGCUUGGGAAGUAGUUCAACAGGCGGAUUUGUGCCUGUAGAAGUUUAUGGGCAUGUUGGUAAUUUGCACCAGGACUUCUGAGCUGCUUGCUAAUAUCCUUGCCAAAAGUCAUGGAGCUCAGAUUUACAUGGAGUAUAUUUGUCAUUAGGAUUGGUAUUCAUCAAAUGUAACCUCGGUAUCUUGUAUUACUAAAUGUUUUGAUGCGAGUUGUUUUAAUUUUUCCAGAGAUAACCCUGGACUUAUCUUUAAAGCACUCAACAUCCAAUCUCCUCCUGUUUUGCCUUUGCUUAGCUCUCAGCUCUCUGUGUUGAGUGUGAUUGGUGACCUUUUUAAAGAAAGGUAUCAUCACUAAAAGUCUCCUCAUUGACAGCAUCCAUACUCUUAUGUUUUGUAGCUAAUGGAUUUUUUACCAUCUAAAAUAUUAUACAAAGUUUUGUCCCAGUAAAAGCUCACAUGCAGCUGUAAAGUGAUGUCUGCAGCUUAAAGGAGUGUCCCCUCUAAGAGUCGCUGGCAUAUGGGUUUUUAUGUAUUAGGGUCUGUAAAUGAGAUACCACUUGCAAAGAUUAACCAUGUUUCAGGGCUGUGUGCCAGAUGGUAAAAACCAUAUGAGUUGUGGAGUCCUUAGAGAUUUUUUUUUUUUUAGUUUGUUUUUGUUUAUCAUAGAGAAUAUGCUUCUGGGUUCAUAAAGUUUCAGCAUGUUCUUUCUAACGCGUCAUGGAGAAAGAAGUAUUAACUCUAUCCUGAAUCCAGGCCACCGACAGCUAUAAAAAUAGCCUUUAAAAGAGGAGGUAGGCAGCCUAUUUCCUGGGAGAAAAAAAUAGCGGUUUUAAAAUACUUUCUGUGUUGAUGCUAAAAUUAAUGGGUUGUUAUUGUUAUUCUCUGAAAUGAUCUAUUCAGAAGAUAAAGCAAUAUUUUUUGAAACGAAUGUAUUUAAAUACUCUGCUCACGCUGUUUGCCUGGUUAUGUAGUAUUGUUCUUACUACAAUGAACUACGCGUGCUUGGGUGUAAGCUUGCAUUCAAAUAGUACCACAGAGCAGCUUCCCCAGUCAGAUAUACAAAUAACUGGAGAUAUGUGAAAGCCAUGGUGAUGUGAGGCCACAGGCCAGGCAAGCCAAUGCAAGUCAUGGCACACAGCCAGCUUUAACAAGACUCUUCAGUGUACCCUGCUUGGGAGUAAGGCUUGCUGUGUAUGGUCUCUAGGAAGGUGAUGAACCCAUGAUUUUUAGCACAGAUAAAAAGGACACACCGUAAGUUAUCUAAUUGGACAGCAGAAUUUCCAUUUUCUUUGCUUGUGGAAAUUUACCUAACAACAACCUCCAUGUUGGAAAGCAGGCAGCAGCCACACAAGAUCCAUGGAGAUGCAGGAUGGAAAGGACCCUGAAGGCAGUGAGGCCCAGGCCGGCCUCGUGUGGGACGAACCGCAGCCCGUACCGCUUCCAUUGCCCGUAAUACGGAGGUUUGCCCUCGUCGCUGCGGUUUCGCUGCGGUUUCAGCCACCGCCGCGGAGCGCCCGGAGUCCGCUGGGGUCGGUCGGCAG
ensembl:lncRNA